AUCGAACGCUGGCGGCAGGCCUAACACAUGCAAGUCGAGCGAGCGGCGGAGGGGUGAGUAAUGUAGGGAGAUGUGCCCGAUAGAGGGGGAUGACUGCGGGAAACGGUGGCUAAUAGCGCAUACGGUCGGAUGAGCCCAUACUGGAUUAGGGAGUAGGUGGGGUAAAGGCUCACCUAGGCGACGAUCUCUAGCUGGUCUGAGAGGAUGAUCAGCCACACUGGGACUGAGACACGGCCCAGACUCCUACGGGAGGCAGCAGUGGGGAAUAUUGCACAAUGGGCGCAAGCCUGAUGCAGCCAUGCCGCGUGUAUGAAGAAGGUCUUCGGGUUGUAAAGUACUUUCAGCGGGGAGGCGUUACCCAAAGAAGAAGCCCCGGCUAACUCCGUGCCAGCAGCCGCGGUAAUUC
rnacentral:rRNA from 1 species